GUGCUUGUUUUGACCUCACAUAUUUGAAAAUGGGAGUGACCCAGAGAAUAUUUGCAUAGCCCCUGUACAAGGAUGACAGAAAAAUUCAUGAGGCCUUUCAUAUUUUU
ensembl:snRNA U6 U6 spliceosomal RNA